rnacentral:tRNA from 1 species
GACAACAUGGCCGAGUGUUUAAGGCGCAUAACUAGAAAUCAUGUGGGUUCGCCCGUACAGGUUCAGAUCCUGUUGUUGUCG